CACAUGCAAGUCGAACGAGAGGAGAAGGAAGCUUAGCUUCGUUCAAAUCUAGUGGCAAACGGGUGAGUAACGCGUAAGCAACCUGCCCUUCAAAUGGGGAACAACAACUGGAAACGGCUGCUAAUACCGAAUACGUUCUUUUGUCGCAUGGCAGAGGGAAGAAAGGGAGGCUCUUCGGAGCUUUCGCUGAAGGAGGGGCUUGCGUCUGAUUAGCUAGUUGGAGGGUAACAGCCCACCAAGGCGACGAUCAGUAGCCGGUCUGAGAGGAUGAACGGCCACAUUGGGACUGAGACACGGCCCAGACUCCUACGGGAGGCAGCAGUGGGGAAUCUUCCGCAAUGGACGAAAGUCUGACGGAGCAACGCCGCGUGAACGAUGACGGCCUUCGGGUUGUAAAGUUCUGUUAUACGGGACGAAUGGCGUAGCGGUCAAUACCCGUUACGAGUGACGGUACCGUAAGAGAAAGCCACGGCUAACUACGUG
rnacentral:rRNA from 1 species